rnacentral:lncRNA from 1 species
AAAAAAAAAAAAAAAAAAAAAAAGUUAUAGGAGGUGGUUAUACGAGUAGAGCUACUAUGCUAUCGGAAGCAUUGAGGAUCUGGUGCUUUCGAUUUUUUUGACCCUUAAAUCAAAUCCUUUGAUAAUUUCUAAUUUUUGAAUUAAUACUAUUACCCUAUGGGAACCACUCAACUCUAGAGGUACUACUCAACAUUGGGGGGACCGCAAUUAUCCUAACCGUAUAAUUUUUAAUCCAAUGGUCAAAAAGUUGGAAGCAUCAGAUCCUCUAUACUUCUGAUAGCAUAGUAGCUCUAUACAAUAUUAAUGAUCCUUAUUUUGGUGUAGCAAAGUAAAUUUAUAGUUGUUAAUAUCAAUUCCCUAACUUGGGAUGUUUAGUUUGUGAUUGAAUCUGGAAUGAAAUUUUUUCUUUUUUUUUUUGAGAGAUAGGUAGCACGCUACCUGCUUCGUUUAUUUCAUUUAGAAAUAAAUUUAGCUGGAAAUGUGAAUCAACUAGGAUUCGAACUUGGAUCUCGGAUACCAACUACCAAGCUCUUUGCCACUUUUGUUGGAAAUGUGAAUCAACUAGGAACGGUCGGUAUCUGGAAUUGAAGCUGG